UGCUUUGGGUUCUCGUGGGAGUUGUUGUCGUUGCAGUAGCUGUUGACAUCGCGGCAGUGGCCGGCAUGGUGGUUGUUCCGGUUGUCGUGUGAGUUGUAGUCGUUGCAGUAGUGGUUGACGUCGCGGCAGUGGUCAGCAUGGUGGUGGUUCCGGUUGUCGUGGGAGUUGUAGUCGUUGCAGUAGUAGUUGACGUCGCGGUAGUGGUUGGAGCUGUUGUGCUUUGGGUUGUCGUGGGAGUUGUUGUCAUUGCUGUAGUAGUUGACGUCGCGGUAGUGGUUGUCAUGGUUAUGCUUUCGGUUGUCGUGGGAGUUCUCGUCGUUGCAGUAGUAGUUAACGUCGCGGCAGUGGUCGGCAUGGUGGUGGUUUCGGUUGUCGUGGGAGUUGUAGUCGUUGGAGUAGCUGUUGACGUCGUGGUACUUGUCAGGGUGGUGGUUGUUUCGGUUGUCGUGGGAGUUCUAGUCGUUUCAGUAGUAGUUGAAGUCGCGGUAUUCGGUGAUGCCGCAGCAGUGGUCGGCGUGGUGGUGGUUCCGGUUGUCAUGGGAGUUGUAGUCGUUGCUGUAGUAGUUGACGUCGCGGUAGUGGUUGGAGCUGUUGUGCUUUGGGUUGUCGUGGGAGUUGUUGUCGUUGCAGUAGUGGUUGACGUCGCGGCAGUGGUCAGCAUGGUGGUGGUUCCGGUUGUCGUGGGAGUUGUUGUCGUUGCAGUAGUGGUUGACGUCGCGGCAGUGGUCAGCAUGGUGGUGGUUCCGGUUGUUGUGGGAGUUGUUGUCGUUGCUGGAGUAGUUGACGUCGUGGUAGUGGUUGGCAUGGUGAUGCUUUGGGUUGUCGUGGGAGUUGUUGUCGUUGCAGUAGUGGUUGACGUCGCGGCAGUGGUUGGAGCUGUUGUGCUUUGGGUUGUCGUGGGAGUUGUUGUCGUUGCUGUAGUAGUUGACGUCGCGGCAGUGGUUGGAGCUGUUGUGCUUUGGGUUGUCGUGGGAGUUGUAGCCGUUGCAGUAGCUGUUGACAUCGCGGCAGUGGCCGGCAUGGUGGUUGUUCCGGUUGUCGUGGGAGUUGUUGUCGUUGCGGGAGUAGUUGAUCUCGCGGUACUGGUUGGCGUGGUUAUGCUUUCGGUUGUCGUGGGAGUUGUAGUCGUUGCAGUAGUGGUUGACGUCGCGGCAGUGGUCGGCAUGGUGGUGGUUCCGGUUGUCGUGGGAGUUGUAGUCGUUGCAGUAGUAGUUGACGUCGCGGUAGUGGUUGGAGCUGUUGUGCUUUGGGUUGUCGUGGG
rnacentral:lncRNA from 1 species